rnacentral:rRNA from 1 species
CAUUACCUAGCGGCGGACGGGUGAGUAAUGCUUAGGAAUCUGCCUAUUAGUGGGGGACAACAUUCCGAAAGGAAUGCUAAUACCGCAUACGUCCUACGGGAGAAAGCAGGGGACCUUCGGGCCUUGCGCUAAUAGAUGAGCCUAAGUCGGAUUAGCUAGUUGGUGGGGUAAAGGCCUACCAAGGCGACGAUCUGUAGCGGGUCUGAGAGGAUGAUCCGCCACACUGGGACUGAGACACGGCCCAGACUCCUACGGGAGGCAGCAGUGGGGAAUAUUGGACAAUGGGGGGAACCCUGAUCCAGCCAUGCCGCGUGUGUGAAGAAGGCCUUAUGGUUGUAAAGCACUUUAAGCGAGGAGGAGGCUCUCUUGGUUAAUACCCAAGAUGAGUGGACGUUACUCGCAGAAUAAGCACCGGCUAACUCUGUGCCAGCAGCCGCGGUAAUACAGAGGGUGCGAGCGUUAAUCGGAUUUACUGGGCGUAAAGCGUGCGUAGGCGGCUUUUUAAGUCGGAUGUGAAAUCCCCGAGCUUAACUUGGGA